UUUCAGGGAAGAAAAUCUCUUAAGAAAGUGGCAGAGAUAAAGAGCUCCCGGCCCCUGGGUGCACCCAGGGGGCUGCUUUACCUAACAUCCCGCUCACAGGAUGAGAGUGCUGGAUCAGCCUGGUGUCAGCUCCUGAGCUUCUGACUCAGGGGGAGAGAUUCCCGGAAAACAAAGCAGAAGCUUUUCUACCUGUGUCAGCAGGAAGUGCCUGGGAGACAAAAGAGAGAAUUCUAUAACCAGUGGCCUCUGUCCGAGAACACAGAAGAAAAUGAAGCCAGGCAAACAACAGAGAAAAGUGAACCACAGAAGAACAAACUCGAAUGAAACUGCUUAACAAUCCUACAGCGCAAGCCCAGCAGUCCACAGGCUGAGCUCACACAUUCCUGCAUUCCCGGGUGGCCCAGCCAGUGUGAAAUUAUUUCCUCCUUGGAUUGCAGAGCCAUUGCUGCAGUUCUGGAGAUACCAUCAUGCAGAGCUACCUCCAAUCUUUUGCAGCUCACCCAGGGGCCUCAGACUGAAGAGAAUUCCUCCCCAGGGCAUUCAACACCUGCCGGACCAAGCUGACAACAUUCAAGAGGAGGGUGUUCUUUUAAGAACAUACAGUAUGGAAAAGAAGAGCUGGAAAAUUCUCAAAGACUCUUCUCAUGUUAGCAGCCAUGUUUCUGCAAUUAUGUUUUAGAAAGCAUUCAUCUGCAAAAAUAAUUACAAGGAGAAUGUACAAUGAGAAGUGGUCUGUGUCAUGUCUGCUUAGAAGAAUGUCAAGAUCCCUCCAUUUGGCAUUUUGGCGCCCAGGAAGAAAAAGUGGAUGAAGAGGCCCCUUUGGGUAUCUUGUUAACAACUGAAGAGCCACAUUUUACAGCCAGAGAAGCUGUGACUCUUCACACACUCCUCUCUGACUCUCCCUGUGCCACACGAGAGUAAUGCCCUUUAUGGAGGGCCUGUAGGAAGCAUUCUACAUGCACUAUCUCAUUUAAUUCUCAUAACAUGUGAAAAGGGCAGGGGUCAGCAAACUGUGGUCAGCCACCUGUCUUUGUAAAUACAGUUUUACUGACACAGCCGCUGCCAUUCAUUUACAUAUUGUCUUUGGCUGCUUUUACACUAAGGGCAGAUCUCAGUAGUUGCCACAGAACCCUAUGCCCCAUAUUGGAGAGAAAUCUGCAUCCCCGUGUGCAUGUAGCAAUAUUCACAAUAACCAAGGUUAUGGUAACAACCUA